AGUGAACGCUGGCGGUACGCCUAACACAUGCAAGUCGAACGGCAGCACAGUAAGAGCUUGCUCUUACGGGUGGCGAGUGGCGGACGUGUGAGGAAUACAUCGGAAUCUACUUUUUCGUGGGGGAUAACGUAGGGAAACUUACGCUAAUACCGCAUACGACCUACGGGUGAAAGCAGGGGAUCUUCGGCCCUUGCGCGAUUGAAUGAGCCGAUGUCGGAUUAGCUAGUUGGCGGGGUAAAGGCCCACCAAGGCGACGAUCCGUAGCUGGUCUGAGAGGAUGAUCAGCCACACUGGAACUGAGACACGGUCCAGACUCCUACGGGAGGCAGCAGUGGGGAAUAUUGGACAAUGGGCGCAAGCCUGAUCCAGCCAUACCGCGUGGGUGAAGAAGGCCUUCGGGUUGUAAAGCCCUUUUGUUGGGAAAGAAAAGCAGCAGGUUAAUACCCCGCUGUUCUGACGGUACCCAAAGAAUAAGCACCGGCUAACUUCGUG
rnacentral:rRNA from 1 species